UCCUACGGGAGGCAGCAGUAGGGAAUAUUGCGCAAUGGGGGAAACCCUGACGCAGCAACGCCGCGUGAGUGAUGAAGGCUUUCGGGUCGUAAAACUCUGUUGUUAGGGAAGAACAAGUGCUAGUUGAAUAAGCUGGCACCUUGACGGUACCUAACCAGAAAGCCACGGCUAACUACGUGCCAGCAGCCGCGG
rnacentral:rRNA from 1 species